rnacentral:rRNA from 1 species
GAGUCUCGGCAAUGGAUAUCUCAGCUCUUGCAUCGAUGAAGAACGUAGCAAAAUCCGAUACUUGGUGUGAAUUGCAGAAUCCCGUGAACCAUCGAGUCUUUGAACGCAAGUUAUGCCCCAAGCCUUCUGGCUGAGGGCACAUCUGCCUGGGUGUCA